GAUGAACGCUGGCGGCGUGCCUAAUACAUGCAAGUCGAGCGAACAGACGAGGAGCUUGCUCCUCUGACAUUAGCGGCGGACGGGUGAGUAACACGUGGAUAACCUACCUAUAAGACUGGGAUAACUGCGGGAAACCGGAGCUAAUACCGGAUAAUAUAUUGAACAGCAUGGUUCAAUAGUGAAAGACGGUUUUGCUGUCACUUAUAGAUGGAAUCGCGCCGCAUUAGCUAGUUGGGAAGGUAACGGCUUACCAAGGCAACGAUGCGUAGCCGACCUGAGAGGGGGGUCGGCCACACUGGAACGGAGACACGGUCCAGAGUCCUACGGGAGGCAGCAGUAGGGAAUCGUCCGCAAUGGGCGAAAGCCUGACGGAGCAGCGCCGCGUGAGUGAUGAAGGUCUUCGGAUCGUAAAACUCUGUUAUUAGGGAAGAACAAAUGUGUAAGUAACUAUGCACGUCGUGACGGUACCUAGUCAGAAAGCCACGGCUAACUACGUG
rnacentral:rRNA from 1 species